UCCAAUCAUAUUUGCUCUUCCUGGAAAACACGCAUGCGCAUUUAGUGGGCGAAUGUGACUUGUAUCGAUUGGAGGAAACAAUUCAGCAUCGAAGGAAUAACGACUGAAAUAUUGGAGUGUCAAAAUGACAAAACGAAAACCUGCAAAACGAUGGAGAAGAACCGGUAAAGAAGUCGACUCAAAUAAACGAUCAAGAAGGACUGUACAAUUGCCACCAAUGUGAAUGUGGAGACUGAUGAGCAAUGUCUAAGAUGUAGCAGCAGGGGAACAGAAGGAGCCCAAAACACUGCUCUUCAUAUGGAACACAUCCAACCUCCAGGUGUCCAUGCAGGAUGUACCACUCUGGAACAUCAAACCUCUCCCUACCCGCCAGCACAUGAACAUAUUUCUACUUUUGACUCUAUCAAAGACAAUGGAAAACCAUUUUCCAGAUCAGCCCUCAUAGAUCCUCCUGAUGGCCUAACAACUGAACUACAUGUCGAUGCUGAGUAUGAUCCAUCUCAAUCAUUUGAGGAAUCUCUCCCUGAUAUGGGGGAUUGGAUGUACAAUGACGGGCAUAUGUUUAAUGAAGAAUUUGAAGAUAGUUUGAGUGAGGAGUGUGCAGAAGAGUCAAAUAUCAAGGACACAACAGACAAACCAUUAUAUGACAAUGCAUCAGUAACCGUGGCAGAGUGCCUUCUGAUCAUCAUGGCUUAUGAAAACUGUCAUAAAGUCACUGAUAAGGCCCUAUAAGCGAUUUGCUGAAAAUGUUCAAGUUGCUUUGUCCCGAUAAUAUGAAUGCAGACUGCUUAAACAGUGUGCAGAAGUUCAAAAACUUUCUUUUAUCCCGCUCUGCAUCAUCGCCUAUUUUAUUACAUAAAUACUGCAGUAAUUGUUUUGGGCCAUUAGAAAGUAAACAAAUAAAAUGUCUGUCUUGUGGGACCAGUGUGUCAGAAGAAAGAUCCUCAUCCUUUAUAGAGGUUCCAAUUAAGGCUCACAUAAGGUCAUUGUUCCUCAAGCCAGGUUUUCAGGAGAAGCUUAACUUCAGAUUAAGCAGAAAGAAGGCAGAUGCUAACAACAUUGAAGAUAUAUAUGAUGCAGAAGUUUACAAACAGCUUGUCGAUAGGUUUGGUCCUCUUAGUGACCCUAAAAACAUCUCACUUGGAACACCGAUGAAGACAAAAAUUGAUAUUUGUUAAGGCUCAUACAUGGUACUCAAAAUAUACCUAUGCAGAUGGUAAAUGUAGUCAAACUUGUGCAGUCUAUUCCUGUUAUUUCACAAACUAUUAAACCAGGGAAUGUCAUAGCUGAAUUUUACAGACAUAUGACUAAAGAUGAUAGUUUCUGUCAGGAAAACAAAUAUUUGUCUAGGAUUAAACUAUAUGGAGCACCUAGUGAACUUCUAUUGGACACAGUUCACCUCUCUGCAUUGCAAAUACAUGCUGGUCACUGCAUCAAUUCUGGAACAGUAAGCAUCUUUCACAGGGCACAAGUUAAGAGAAAUUAUCUCACAUCAAAACACUAUGGUAAAGGUAAUAGUAGAAACAAUUUUACAGUUUUUUUUUCAAAUGACGGACAAACAAAGUAUGGACAGAUUGAUUUCUUCUUUAUCAAAUGGGCCCUCCUUCGUGAAUUCAAACAUGCAGGGUUUUCUUUGCUGCAAGAUAGUGUAACAAAUGGUACAUGAAGUCAUGUUAUUCCCCUAUUGGAAACCUCUGCCAGUACAGUAGUAUGAUUGGAUGACAUAUUGGGUAAAGUUGUUUUCCUUGACUUCACAUCUGUGCCUGGCAUUGUGUUUGCAGUUCAUUUCUGUGCCUGGCAUUGUGUUUGCAGUUCAUUUCCCAAACUCAACUGGCCUAAGAAGUCACAAAUCAAAUAUUUGAUCAUUGUUAUAAAUGCUCUGAAAAUACACACCGAUGAGAUGUUGCCGUGGAUGCUGUAAAAGUCUGUAAAUAUGUACUGUAUAUGGAGUAUCAUUGUUGAUUAAGUUUUUGCAUUGUCUGUAAUAUUUCAGUGGCCAAUAUAUUAAAAUGUACUUGUUAAAUAAAACCACUGUCUUUUUUAAUGAAUAUUUAGGCCUACUA